rnacentral:rRNA from 1 species
GGAUUGACACAUCGGUCGUGCCUUAAGGGGUAUGAACUGGUGUAGUCAAUUUCUCACCUUCUGGAGAACCGCGAUGCCCUUAAUUGGGUGUCACGGGGAACCAGGACCUUUACUUUGAAAAAAUUAGAGUGUUCAAAGCGGGCGCAUGCUCGAAUAGAUUAGCAUGGAAUAAUGGAAUAG